UACGGAGGAUGCAAGCGUUAUCCGGAAUGAUUGGGCGUAAAGCGUCCGCAGGUGGCUGUGUAAGUCUGCUGUUAAAUAGUGAGGCUCAACCUCAUAAAGGCAGUGGAAACUACACGGCUAGAGUGCGUUCGGGGCAGAGGGAAUUCCUGGUGUAGCGGUGAAAUGCGUAGAGAUCAGGAAGAACACCGGUGGCGAAAGCGCUCUGCUAGGCCGCAACUGACACUGAGAGACGAAAGCUAGGGGAGCGAAUGGG
rnacentral:rRNA from 1 species